GCAUGAAUUUUAUGCAUCACUGCUCUUCAGAGUUAAAGUCCCACAGAGUCUGAACCGUUUUCACGCACUCACACAGGAAACUGCAUCAGGAUGAUGUUGACAGUAACUCUGAGUGUCAUGCUGGUUUUUCUGAGUCAGGAGUCUGCUGCCAACAAAUUUCUGACUCAGACUGACUCAGUCAAGUCUGUUAGUCUUGGAGGGACUGUGAACAUCGGAGCAACAGGGAGUUCAGAUAUUGGUGCUGACCUCAGUUGGUACCUUCAGAAACCUGGACAGGCUCCCAAGCUUCUUAUAUACAGAGCAUCAACUCUAUAUUCAGGAACUCCCUCUCGAUUCAGUGGCAGUAGAUCUGGUUCUAGCUACACCUUAACCAUCAGAGGUGUUCAGGCUGAAGAUGUUGGAGAUUAUUACUGUUUCGGUGAUCAUGGUGGUAAUGUGUUCACACAGUGAUUUAGAGCCGUACAAAAACCUCCCUCAGUUUGACAGAAGUGAAACUGGUCUGCUGCAGCUGCACAGAGAAUAACUGGUCCAGUGAACACAACACAAGUCUUCAAGCAGAGCGACAAUGAAGCUAAACACAACUGAAACAAACCCCACACACACUUCUCGUUUUGUAUUCUCCUCAUUCACUUCCCGCUCUGAAGCUACUGACCGAACCUGGCACCGUACAUCAGUCCAAACAAAAAGCUCCAGGUUAUUAUUAUAGAUUUUGAAAUAAAUGCUUUAAUGCUUCA